GCCGGGCAUUGUGGCUGGUGCCUGUCAUCCCAGCUCCUAGGGAGGCUGAGGCCGGCGGAUCACUUGAGCUCAGGAGUUAUGGACUGCAGUGGGCUGUGCCGAUCGGAUGUCUACACCAAGUUCAGUAUCAAUAUGGUGAUCCCUGGGAAGCUUGGGGUCCCCAGGUUGCCUAUGAAGGGGUGAAUUGGCCCAGGGUGAAAAUGGAGCAGGUCAAAACUUUCGUGCCGAUCAGUAGUGGGAUGGUGCCUGUGAAUAGCCCCUGCAGUGUAGCCUGGGUGAGACACAGUCUCUUUCU
ensembl:misc_RNA Metazoa_SRP Metazoan signal recognition particle RNA